rnacentral:rRNA from 1 species
AUUGAACGCUGGCGGCAGGCCUAACACAUGCAAGUCGAGCGGGGUGAUGGUGCUUGCACUAUCACUUAGCGGCGGACGGGUGAGUAAUGCUUAGGAAUCUGCCUAUUAGUGGGGGACAACAUCUCGAAAGGGAUGCUAAUACCGCAUACGUCCUACGGGAGAAAGCAGGGGAUCACUUGUGACCUUGCGCUAAUAGAUGAGCCUAAGUCGGAUUAGCUAGUUGGUGGGGUAAAGGCCUACCAAGGCGACGAUCUGUAGCGGGUCUGAGAGGAUGAUCCGCCACACUGGGACUGAGACACGGCCCAGACUCCUACGGGAGGCAGCAGUGGGGAAUAUUGGACAAUGGGGAGAACCCUGAUCCAGCCAUGCCGCGUGUGUGAAGAAGGCCUUAUGGUUGUAAAGCACUUUAAGCGAGGAGGAGGCUCUUUUGGUUAAUACCCAAGAUGAGUGGACGUUACUCGCUGAAUAAGCACCGGCUAACUCUGUGCCAGCAGCCGCGGUAA